CAAACGACUCUCGGCAAUGGAUAUCUCGGCUCUUGCAUCGAUGAAGAACGUAGUGAAAUGCGAUACUUGGUGUGAAUUGCAGAAUCUCGUGAACCAUUGAGUCUUUGAACGCAAGUUGUGCCCGAGGCCUUGUGGCCGAGGGCACGCCUGCUUGGGUGUCAUGG
rnacentral:rRNA from 8 species